rnacentral:rRNA from 1 species
ACGGGUGAGUAAUACAUCGGAACGUAUCCUGGAGUGGGGGAUAGCCCGGCGAAAGCCGGAUUAAUACCGCAUACGCUCUGAGGAGGAAAGCGGGGGACCUUCGGGCCUCGCGCUCAAGGGGCGGCCGAUGGCGGAUUAGGUAGUUGGUGGGGUAAAGGCCUACCAAGCCGACGAUCCGUAGCUGGUCUGAGAGGACGACCAGCCACGCUGGAACUGAGACACGGCCCAGACUCCUACGGGAGGCAGCAGUGGGGAAUUUUGGACAAUGGGGGCAACCCUGAUCCAGCAAUGCCGCGUGUGUGAAGAAGGCCUUCGGGUUGUAAAGCACUUUUGUCCGGAAAGAAAUCAUCGGGGCCAAUACCCCUGGUGGAUGACGGUACCGGAAGAAUAAGCACCGGCUAACUACGUGCCAGCAGCCGCGGUAAUACGUAGGGUGCGAGCGUUAAUCGGAAUUACUGGGCGUAAAGCGUGCGCAGGCGGUGCUGUAAGACCGAUGUGAAAUCCCCGGGCUUAACCUGGGAACUGCAUUGGUGACUGCAGCGCUGGAGUAUGGCAGAGGGGGGUGGAAUUCCACGUGUA